UGGCUGAGCGGUAAAGUGCUUGGCUUCUGAACCGAGGAUCCCGGGUUCGAAUCCUGG
rnacentral:tRNA from 1 species